rnacentral:rRNA from 1 species
AGAGUUUGAUUAUGGCUCAGAGUGAACGCUGGCGGCGUGCCUAACACAUGCAAGUCGUGCGCGAAAGGGUAGCAAUACCUGAGUAAAGCGGCGAACGGGUGAGUAACACGUGGUUAACCUGCCUGGAUGUGGGGGAUACCCCGGGGAAACUCGGGCUAAUACCGCAUGAUGUCCUUCGGGCUCGGGCCUGGGGGAGCAAAGCAGGCGCAAGCUUGCGCAUCCAGAGGGGACCGCGGCCGAUUAGCUAGUUGGCGGGGUAAUGGCCCACCAAGGCGACGAUCGGUAGCCGGCCUGAGAGGGUGAACGGCCACACCGGAACUGAGACACGGUCCGGACUCCUACGGGAGGCAGCAGUGGGGAAUUUUGCGCAAUGGGGGAAACCCUGACGCAGCAACGCCGCGUGGAGGAUGAAGCCCCUUGGGGUGUAAACUCCUUUCGAUCGGGACGAUGAUGACGGUACCGGAUGAAGAAGCACCGGCUAACUCUGUGCCAGCAGCCGCGGUAAUACAGAGGGUGCAAGCGUUGUUCGGAAUUAUUNNNCGUAAAGGGUGCGUAGGCGGUGCGGUAAGUCUGUUGUGAAAUCUCCGGGCUCAACUCGGAGCCUGCAACGGAAACUGCCGUGCU